rnacentral:rRNA from 1 species
AUUGAACGCUGGCGGCAGGCCAAACACAUGCAAGUCGAGCGGUAGCACAGAGAGCUUGCUCUCGGGUGACGAGCGGCGGACGGGUGAGUAAUGUCUGGGAAACUGCCUGAUGGAGGGGGAUAACUACUGGAAACGGUAGCUAAUACCGCAUAACGUCGCAAGACCAAAGUGGGGGACCUUCGGGCCUCAUGCCAUCAGAUGUGCCCAGAUGGGAUUAGCUGGUAGGUGGGGUAACGGCUCACCUAGGCGACGAUCCCUAGCUGGUCUGAGAGGAUGACCAGCCACACUGGAACUGAGACACGGUCCAGACUCCUACGGGAGGCAGCAGUGGGGAAUAUUGCACAAUGGGCGCAAGCCUGAUGCAGCCAUGCCGCGUGUGUGAAGAAGGCCUUCGUGUUGUAAAGCACUUUCAGCGGGGAGGAAGGCGAUGAGGUUAAUAACCUCAUCGAUUGACGUUACCCGCAGAAGAAGCACCGGCUAACUCCGUGCCAGCCGCCGCGGUAAUAC